rnacentral:ncRNA from 1 species
UCAGAGGCGCGGGUUUUAUGAGUACGCUGUCGGAGGUUUUCCGGACCGCUGAGGGCAGCCGAAAGGAAAAACCGCCGAAGGGGAACCCGCAGGGAAGCGGCUCCGCCUGGCCCUGCGUUUAAGAGACGCCGGGUUGUCAUCAUGCGUGAUGGAGAACUG